UGGGGAAUAUUGCACAAUGGGCGGAAGCCUGAUGCAGCGACGCCGCGUGGGGGAUGAAGGCCUUCGGGUUGUAAACUCCUUUCGACAGGGACGAAGCCUUUGUGACGGUACCUGUAUAAGAAGCACCGGCUAACUACGUGCCAGCAGCCGCGGUAAUACGUAGGGUGCGAGCGUUGUCCGGAAUUACUGGGCGUAAAGAGCUCGUAGGUGGUUUGUCGCGUCGUCUGUGAAAUUCCGGGGCUUAACUCCGGGCGUGCAGGCGAUACGGGCUGACUUGAGUGCUGUAGGGGAGACUGGAAUUCCUGGUGUAGCGGUGAAAUGCGCAGAUAUCAGGAGGAACACCGAUGGCGAAGGCAGGUCUCUGGGCAGUAACUGACGCUGAGGAGCGAAAGCAUGGGUAGCGAACAGGAUUAGAUACCCUGGUAGUCCAUGCCGUAAACGGUGGGCGCUAGGUGUAGGGGGCUUCCACGUCUUCUGUGCCGUAGCUAACGCAUUAAGCGCCCCGCCUGGGGAGUACGGCCGCAAGGCUA
rnacentral:rRNA from 1 species